UACGAAGGGGGCUAGCGUUGCUCGGAAUCACUGGGCGUAAAGCGCACGUAGGCGGAUUGUUAAGUCAGGGGUGAAAUCCUGGAGCUCAACUCCAGAACUGCCUUUGAUACUGGCGAUCUUGAGUCCGGGAGAGGUGAGUGGAACUGCGAGUGUAGAGGUGAAAUUCGUAGAUAUUCGCAAGAACACCAGUGGCGAAGGCGGCUCACCUGGCCCGGUACUGACGCUGAGGUGCGAAAGCGUGGGGAGCAACAGGG
rnacentral:rRNA from 1 species